AAUCAACGCUGGCGGCGUGCCUAACACAUGCAAGUCGAACGCGAAAGCCCCUUCGGGGGUAAGUAGAGUGGCGUCCGGGUGAGUAACACGUGGGUAAUCUGCCUUCGGGUGGGGAAUAACCCAGGGAAACUUGGGCUAAUACCGCAUAAUGCAGCGGCACCUAAAUGGUGAUUAGUUGUUAAAGCGGGGGAUCGCAAGACCUCGCGCCUGAAGAGGAGCCUGCGGCAGAUUAGCUAGNGGUGAGGUAAUGGCUCACCAAGGCUUCGAUCUGUAGCUGGUCUGAGAGGACGGCCAGCCACACUGGCACUGACACACGGGCCAGACUCCUACGGGAGGCAGCAGUGGGAAUUUUGGGCAAUGGGCGAAAGCCUGACCCAGCAACGCCGCGUGAGGAGGAAAUCCUCGGAUGUAAACCUCACAAGCAAGGGAAGAGAGCUGCGGGCUGAAUAAUCCCGUAGUGCGACGGUACCUUGCGUAA
rnacentral:rRNA from 1 species